rnacentral:rRNA from 1 species
AUUGAACGCUGGCGGCAGGCCUAACACAUGCAAGCCGAACGGCAGCGGGGGAUAGCUUGCUAUCCUGCCGGCGAGUGGCGGACGGGUGAGUAAUGCAUGGGGAGCUGCCCAGUCGAGGGGGAUAACAACUGGAAACGGUUGCUAAUACCGCAUACGCCCUGAGGGGGAAAGGUGGGGAACUUCGGUCCUACCGCGAUUGGAUGCGCCCAUGUGGGAUUAGCUAGUUGGCGAGGUAACGGCUCACCAAGGCGACGAUCUCUAGCUGGUCUGAGAGGAUGACCAGCCACACUGGAACUGAGACACGGUCCAGACUCCUACGGGAGGCAGCAGUGGGGAAUAUUGCACAAUGGGGGAAACCCUGAUGCAGCCAUGCCGCGUGUGUGAAGAAGGCCUUAUGGUUGUAAAGCACUUUAAGCGAGGAGGAGGCUCUUUUGGUUAAUACCCAAGAUGAGUGGACGUUACUCGCAGAAUAAGCACCGGCUAACUCUGUGCCAGCCGCCGCGGUAA